AAUUGUUCUUUUUAAAUAUGUGAAAAACUACAGAUUUCAGAAAUCUCUUUGAAAUAAAAUAUUUUAUUUAAGCAAAAUAGUUUUCUUGAGACUUCGAAGUUUAACAGUGGCAGCAUGACAUUGUUUGUUUUCUUUACUGUAAUGUGCUAAAUUUAAACUUGCGAUAACAAGGAGUGCAAUAACUAGCAAUACACUUGCUACUCGCAUGGAUAGAUAAUAGUCCGUUCUCUUUCAACGCCCGUUCACGGCUUUUAUUAAGUUCAGUGUCACAUGAUGUAGUUUGCUGUGUUAUCAGUCAUAAAUUUCUACAACAUAAUAUUUCUAAUGAUAUAUUUUGGCUGCUCAUAUAAAAGAUGUUUUGAAAGGCUAUUUAUAUAGAAUUGGUUUCAUGGAACUUCAGACAGAAAAUGCUGGUGAACAUCUAAAUAAUUGUACUGAAGGAAACUACCCUGCUGACAGAUCUACAUCAAAAUGCAUUAUUUGGUGUCAACAGCUAAAACCCAGUAAAAGAAAAAUAUUUCAUGUUCUUGCACAAGUAUUUGUUCUCCUUUUCCUUUUUGCAACAUUAUUUGGCAUCCUAAGGCAAGAUGCUUUGCCAGGAAGUGAAAUAUUUGCUUUGCUUAUAUUAGUUAUCUUUGCUCAUAUUGGUGGCAAAAUUAUUGGUUUUAUAAAAUUGCCUCCACUUUUAGG